rnacentral:rRNA from 1 species
UACGUAGGCAGCAAGCGUUGUUCGGAGUUACUGGGCGUAAAGAGUGCGUAGGUGGUGCCCUAAGUCUGUUGUGAAAUCUCCCGGCUUAACUGGGAGGGUGCGGUGGAAACUGGGGUGCUUGAGUGUGGGAGAGGUAAGCGGAAUUCCUGGUGUAGCGGUGAAAUGCGUAGAUAUCAGGAGGAGCACCGGCGGUGUAGACGGCUUUCUGGACCAUUACUGACGCUGAGAUACGAAAGCGUGGGUAGCAAACAGG